CGGAACGUAGCUUAAUUGGUAAAAGUGGCGUGUACACGGAAAACAACAACGAGAGCCGGAUUGAAGGUUCGAAUCCUUCUGUUCCGA
rnacentral:tRNA from 1 species